AUACGGAGGAUGCAAGCGUUAUCCGGAUUUAUUGGGUUUAAAGGGUGCGUAGGCGGUUUGCUAAGCGGGAGGUGAAAUGCCGGCGCUCAACGUCGGAAGUGCCUCCCGAACUGGUGGACUUGAAUGACUCUGCCGUGGGAGGAAUGUGUAGUGUAGCGGGGAAAUGCUUAGAGAUUACACAGAACACCGAUUGCGAAGGCAUCUCACGAAGGGUUGAUUGACGCUGAGGCACGAAAGCGUGGGGAUCAAACAGGAUUAGAUACCCUGGUAGUCCACGCAGUAAACGAUGAUGGCUAACCGCUGGGCUUAUCAGUUCAGUGGCCAAGCGAAAGCGAUAAGCCAUCCACCUGGGGAGUACGACCGCAAGGUUCAAACUCAAAUGAAUUGGCGGGG
rnacentral:rRNA from 1 species